UGGGGAAUAUUGGACAAUGGGCGCAAGCCUGAUCCAGCCAUGCCGCGUGAGUGAUGAAGGCCUUAGGGUUGUAAAGCUCUUUCACCGGAGAAGAUAAUGACGGUAUCCGGAGAAGAAGCCCCGGCUAACUUCGUGCCAGCAGCCGCGGUAAUACGAAGGGGGCUAGCGUUGUUCGGAAUUACUGGGCGUAAAGCGCACGUAGGCGGGUCGUUAAGUCAGGGGUGAAAUCCCGGAGCUCAACUCCGGAAC
rnacentral:rRNA from 1 species